rnacentral:rRNA from 1 species
GCGUAGUGCGCGCACGGGUGCGUUAACGCGUUAGCACUACUAUAACUGGGGAACAACCCCGAGAAAUCGGGGCUAAUACCGAUAACAUCAUGAAGUGGCAUCACUUUAUGAUCAAACCUCAGGGGGUUAUAGAUGGGCAUGCGUGACAUUAGCUCAGUUGGUGAGGUAACGGUCACCAAGCUACGAUGUCUAGGGGUCUGAGAGGAUGAUCCCCCACACUGGUACUGAGACACGGACCAGACUCCUACGGGAGGCAGCAGUAAGGAAUAUUGGACAAUUGGGCGCAAAGCCCUUGGAUUCCCCAGGCCCCAUUGGCCGGCGUGGCAGGGAAUGAAGUGUGUUCAUUGCAUCGUAAAACUGCUUUUAUACAAGAAUAAACUCCUUCACCGUGUGCAAAGGAUUCGAAUGUACUGUAAGAAUAAAGCAAUCGGUAACUUCGUUGCCAGCAGCCGCGGUAAUACGAAGGAUGCAAGCGUUAUCCGGAUUUAUUGGGGUUUAAAAGGGUGCGUAAGGACGGUUUUUAAAGUACAGUGGGUGAAAGCCCGAGUUAAUUCGGAAAUGGCCAUGANAUGAUAAGAUUUGANUACCUUUGAAGUGGGC